rnacentral:rRNA from 1 species
UGAGGAAUAUUGGUCAAUGGGCGUAAGCCUGAACCAGCCAUGCCGCGUGCAGGAUGACUGCCCUAUGGGUUGUAAACUGCUUUUGCAGGGGAGGAACCGGCGGUACGCGUACCGCUCUGACAGUACCCUGCGAAUAAGGAUCGGCUAACUCCGUGCCAGCAGCCGCGGUAAUACGGAGGAUCCGAGCGUUAUCCGGAUUUAUUGGGUUUAAAGGGAGCGCAGGCGGGGGCGUAAGUCAGCGGUGAAAUCUACGGGCUCAACUCGUAAACUGCCGUUGAUACUGCAUCCCUUGAGUACGUGUGGGGCUGGCGGAAUGCGGCAAGUAGCGGUGAAAUGCAUAGAUAUGCCGCAGAACACCGAUCGCGAAGGCAGCUGGCCAACACGUAACUGACGCUGAGGCUCGAAAGCAUGGGGAUCAAACA